rnacentral:rRNA from 1 species
GGUUAAGCGACUAAGCGUACACGGUGGAUGCCCUGGCAGUCAGAGGCGAUGAAGGGCGUGCUAAUCUGCGAUAAGCGCCGGUAAGGUGAUAUGAACCGUUAUAACCGGCGAUACCCGAAUGGGGAAACCCAGUGUGACUCGUCACACUAUCAUUAACUGAAUCCAUAGGUUAAUGAGGCGAACCGGGGGAACUGAAACAUCUAAGUACCCCGAGGAAAAGAAAUCAACCGAGAUUCCCCCAGUAGCGGCGAGCGAACGGGGAGGAGCCCAGAGCCUGAAUCAGCAUGUGUGUUAGUGGAAGCGUCUGGAAAGGCGCGCGAUACAGGGUGACAGCCCCGUACACAAAAGCGCAUGUGCUGUGAGCUCGAUGAGUAGGGCGGGACACGUGGUAUCCUGUCUGAAUAUGGGGGGACCAUCCUCCAAGGCUAAAUACUCCUGACUGACCGAUAGUGAACCAGUACCGUGAGGGAAAGGCGAAAAGAACCCCGGCGAGGGGAGUGAAAAAGAACCUGAAACCGUGUACGUACAAGCAGUGGGAGCCCCACCACUAAGCCAGUGGUGAACUCCACAUACGCAUCCUUUGCUGAGGAUACGGUUAACGGAGCGCAAGCGACGUUCAACCUCAAAAGAAGCAGAGGGGGCUUAGUGGUGGGGUGACUGCGUACCUUUUGUAUAAUGGGUCAGCGACUUAUAUUCUGUAGCAAGGUUAACCGAAUAGGGGAGCCGGAGGGAAACCGAGUCUUAAUUGGGCGUUAAGUUGCAGGGUAUAGACCCGAAACCCGGUGAUCUAGCCAUGGGCAGGUUGAA